rnacentral:rRNA from 1 species
UUCCGGUUGAUCCCGCCGGACCCGACUGCUAUUUGGGUGGGAAUAAGCCAUGCGAGUUGAAUGGGAUACCUAAAGUUCCCAUAGCAAACUGCUCAGUAACACAUGAUCAACUUACCCUAUAGAGAAAAAUAACCUCGGGAAACUGAGGAUAAUGUUUCAUAAUUGAAUUGGCUUGGAAAAGUUUUUCAAUGAAAGGGAUAAAAAAAAUGGUUUUUAUCUGCUAUAGGAUAGGAUCGUGUUCGAUUAUGGUUGUUGGUGAGAUAAUGGCUCACCAAGCCGAUGAUCGAUAGGGGCCGUGAGAGCGGGAGCCCCGAGAUGGGUACUGAGACAACGACCCAGGCCUUACGAGGCGCAGCAGGCGCGGAACCUCCGCAAUACACGAAAGUGUGACGGGGUUACCCAAAGUGUUCAAUAGAACUGUGGUAGGUGAGUAAUGUCCCCUACUAGAAAGGAGAGGGCAAGGCUGGUGCCAGCCGCCGCGGUAAAACCAGCUCUUCAAGUGGUCGGGAUAAUUAUUGGGCUUAAAGUGUCCGUAGCCGGUUUAGUAAGUUCCUGGUAAAAUCGGGUAGCUUAACUAUCUGCAUGCUAGGAAUACUGCUAUACUAGAGGGCGGGAGAGGUCUGAGGUACUACAGGGGUAGGGGUGAAAUCUUAUAAUCCUUGUAGGACCACCAGUGGCGAAGGCGUCAGACUGGAACGCGCCUGACGGUGAGGGACGAAAGCCAGGGGAGCGAACCGGAUUAGAUACCCGGGUAGUCCUGGCCGUAAACGAUGCAUACUAGGUGAUGGUACGGCCAUGAGCCGUAUCAGUGCCGUAGGGAAACCGUUAAGUGUGCCGCCUGGGAAGUACGGUCGCAAGGCUAAAACUUAAAGGAAUUGGUGGGGGAGCACCACAAGGGGUGAAGCCUGCGGUUCAAUUGGAUUCAACGCCGGGAAUCACUAGUGCGGCCG